CGUCGGGGCAGGCCGCGGGGUAGGCCCCGGGGGUACCGGGAGCACCGGGGACACCGGGGCAGGGCGCAGGAACGGCGCAGGAGGGCGGCGAGAGGCUGUCGGCCAAGGCGCGGAGCUGUGCGGCCAGCCGGCUGAGCGCUGGGCUGUGAGGCGCUGCCGGGCCUGUCCCGCGAGGCCUGUCCCGCAGGCGAUGAGGCCGCGGCCCCGGCGUGCCCAGACGCGGAGCCAGGCCCAGCUGCGGUCCCGGCGGAGCAGGCGCAGCACCGCGGGGCUCCCGCCCGGCCCCCGCCCCAGCGCUGUGAGCAACGGGAGGCGUUAGGAGAGGUGAUGUCCACCCCUUUGGCAGCCCCUCGUUGUGCUUGCAGCCCCGCACAGGCAUGUCACUAACUCUGCUUCCUCCUUGGUACAGUGAGCAGGACCAAAUGUGCUUUGUCUUGGCCAUUCUGGUCUUGGGUGUAGCCAGACCAAGGUAGAGGACACGGCCACUCACCCACAGCCCUGUGCUGGGCAGCUGCCAGGUCAGCGUCCUCGGGGUGCAGGAGGCUGUACCACGACCGACCGAUCAGCUCCUCCCUGCGGUAGCCGAGGUGGUAGGUGACACUGGGGGGAAUAAGAGGAGUGGGGUCCAGCCUGCAUCCUGCACCCAGGCUUCGCAAAGUGAAAGCAUCCUGGGGGUCCUGCACAGCCGGCUGGGGCUGUGCUGUGAGCGGGCACCCCUCACCUCUCCGAGACAUCGCUAAAGGUCAUGUCCAGGGCGUGUGUGCUGUGGAACAGCUCGUCCUGAGAGCCGGCGUCGCCCUCCGCAGCCAGCGGUGGGACCGGGGUGCAGAGGGCCAGGAAGGCUGCGGCGGAGGGGGGGGCCGGCCAGCGUGGGGCCAUGAAAUGCCCCCGCACUGCCACGGCCCGGUUACCCCCGUGCUGCAGCCGGAAGGCUUUGGAUGUGCGCAUCUCGCUGACAAACGUGACUUCUGCAGCAAACCAGGAGUGGGUCAGGGGCUCCCCUGGUGGCCCCGCUCCCCUCCUAGGUGGCCACAAAGCGCCCAGGCAGGGCAGUUCCUGCAGGACCCCAGCCCAGCAGCCUCCCGUUCUCCCAGCCUUACCCCUGCCUGGCUGCUCCUGGGCCAGGAGGAGCUUCUUGCACACCUCCUCCCGCGCUCGCCCCUCCAGGAUGUCAAAGACCGUGUCCCCCUGGGCGAGGAGCUCCACCUGGGCGGGGAGCUGUCGUCACGGAGCGUGCCUGCCCCGGUGGGGGGGAGCUCACAGGAGAGCCUCACGGGGACAGCGGCUGCAACUCCACAGCGGCCAGGCCUUACCAUGGAGAGGCCCAGGACCUGGGAGACGUUCUCGGAGAUGUAGACCAGCUUGCCAGCGGCCGAGAGCACCAGCAGGAAGCCCGGCAGCAGGGAGAGGAGCUCCGCAGCGAGCACCGGGCCCACCGGGGGAGCCGAAACUGCAGAGGGAGCACAGCGUGAGGCUCCUGUGGGAGCAGCGCCCCGUGCAGAGUGCCGGGCAGGUGCAGCGGUGCCCAGGGGUACCUGGAGGGAAGAGGUGAGCGCCCCGCAGCCGGAGGCACACCAGGGCCAUGGUGUGCAGGUAGGAGAGGCGCUCCUUCUCCCGCGCCGAGAUGGGCAGCAGGGAGCGCAGCGCCUGCAGCUCCGCGUUGAUCUGGUCCCGGCGAGCCUUCGAGGCGCUCUUGGUCGACCUGCAAAGCCAGCUCUUUGGGGAAACCUGCCCAGGGAGAGGGGGGAGACGCUAUCCCCAUCCUCAUCUUCAUCCCCUGCAGCCCCGUGGGUGAGGAGCAGCUCACCUGAAGGGUUUGGAGACACCGGGCGCUGCCCCGGCCCUGCUGGGCAAGCAGCUCGCCUGUGCCUGCAGCGGCCUGUGGCAGUGGCUGCAGAAGAUGGUCAUGGUGCCGGCACGGCGCGCCCGGAGCUGGCAGAGCUCCUCUCGCCUCCUCUGCCUGCGGCUGCCUCUGAACCCGCUGACCCCCGCUGCUCCCGGGGCCUCCUUUUGUAGCCUCCCGGCUGCAGGGGCCACGGCGCGGAGGAGCGGGACCUCUCCUGCUGCCAAACAGCUCGCGGCUAUUUUUAGAAGGCGGGCUGCUAAAAAUAGAGCCCCGGCUGCAAUCUGAGAGGGGAAGCAAUAAAAGGAAGCUGGGGUCUGUAAAGCGAGCCUGGCGGCUCAGGAGGGGGCGAUGACGAAGGCAGCAGGGAUCCCGCCGUGGGGCAUCCUGAGUGACCACCAAUGGCCCAGCACAAAGCCUGUGAGGGGCUGGGGACAUGAGGGGUAUGGGGCCACAGUGUCCCUAAACCCUCGGAGGGAAGCGGGGUGCCUACAACUGCCUCCCCAGCAAGGUGUUUCCCUUCUCCCCAUUAAAGGUUUGGUGUAGAGGGA